UACAGAGGUCUCAAGCGUUGUUCGGAUUCAUUGGGCGUAAAGGGUGCGUAGGCGGCGCGGUAAGUCGGGUGUGAAAUUUCGAGGCUUAACUUCGAAACUGCAUUCGAUACUGCCGUGCUUGAGGACUGGAGAGGAGACUGGAAUUUACGGUGUAGCGGUGAAAUGCGUAGAUAUCGUAAGGAAGACCAGUGGCGAAGGCGGGUCUCUGGACAGUUCCUGACGCUGAGGCACGAAAGCUAGGGGAGCGAACAGG
rnacentral:rRNA from 1 species